rnacentral:rRNA from 1 species
CCAGACUCCUACGGGAGGCAGCAGUGAGGAAUAUUGGUCAAUGGCCGAGAGGCUGAGCCAGCCAAGUCGCGUGAGGGAUGACGGCCCUACGGGUUGUAAACCUCUUUUGUCGGGGAGCAAAGAGAGUCACGUGUGGCUCAUUGAGAGUACCCGAAGAAAAAGCAUCGGCUAACUCCGUGCCAGCAGCCGCGGUAAUACGGAGGAUGCGAGCGUUAUCCGGAUUUAUUGGGUUUAAAGGGUGCGUAGGCGGGAUGCCAAGUCAGCGGUAAAAAUGCGGUGCUCAACGCCGUCGAGCCGUUGAAACUGGCGUUCUUGAGUGGGCGAGAAGUAUGCGGAAUGCGUGGUGUAGCGGUGAAAUGCAUAGAUAUCACGCAGAACUCCGAUUGCGAAGGCAGCAUACCGGCGCCCUACUGACGCUGAGGCACGAAAGCGUGGGUAUCGAACAGGAUUAGAUACCCUUGUA